AGGGAGGGAGCUGGGAAGAAAUAGCGCGACUUCUCUCCCCCGUGACCUCCUCACUCCCGCCCAUGCUCCCCAUUAACCGUCCUCAAACAGAAGUCAGCUGACACGGAGGCCUGGGUAGUAGUCGGUAGGCUCCGCCUCACGGUGCACGGAGCAGGGCACAGACGCCGGAGAACGCCCAGAGGAAAACCACUGCAGAAGGUCACAGAGGAAAUCUUUGCUUUGGGGAAAGUAUGUCCAGAUGAAGGAACAAAGCUGGGCAAAACCAAACAACCUGCAUUGAGACACCCAGCAGGGAAGUACUGGAAUUCCAUCCCCAGUUACUGGUUGCCAGUAUCCCUCUAGGGGAAUCCCCUCCACCCCAGUGUUAGGUCUGGGAGGUACAGGAAAGACAGAGAGGGCAGCCGCCCACCAGCCUCUGAGGAGAAGAAAAGGCCUCCAACCCCCCAAUGAGGGAUUACAUUUUCCUUAUUGUCAUGAAAAGAAUUCCCCUUUUCUGGCAAAUAAAGCCCAUUUCUAAGUGAAGCUCAAACAGCCCUGCAGGGAGGUUUCGAAUGAGGAGAGCAGAGUUAAGUCUCUGCCAAGGGAUUAAAACUAUCCUCCUUGGUUCUCCUGGGGGCCCAGGAGCCAACCCUCUAUGAGUGUUAUACAAAGGGGCCGGGAAGGGGGCGACAAUGCUAAAAGACAGAACAUUGAAUAUUCACUCAUCUGAAAAUCCCCAAGGACAUUCUUUCCUGAGAAGAUGGUCAGACUAAUCCAAGACUGGCCGACUGACUGAAUGGCCAAGCAGACAGAUUUUUUUUUCCCCAAGAGAUUUACAGCUUCAACUAAAAACAGUUGUUUGGACAAAUUGUCAAACUCCCACAGGGCCCACUUGAUAUCUAGUCUUGUCAGGUCAGAGAGGAGAAUGGCUACUGCUUUGAAAGACUGAGGGUUUGUUGUUUCCUGCUGCUUCCUGGAGACCAACAUGGUAAGUGGAGCCCCAGAGGUCACCGUUAAGGAGAAGACGAUAGGAGGUCUCAGGGGAGUUGUGUUUCGGUGCUGGUCGAGGAGCACAAAGGCAUUUGCUGUUCCACUCCCACCUUCUCCACCUUUGCCGAACUCACGACCUCACGCUUGAAUAUCUGCUGGUUUUUCUGGGGCUCUGCCACGAUCCAGUCCCAGGUUCCUGACCUCCCCAGUCCACCCAGCAUCUCAGAGCCAGAAUAAUCCUCCUCAGCCUGCUUUCAUUGGGGCCCUCCUGAUGAAUGCAAGCAACAGCAUUCUGAGAAGGUGGGAGUGUGAGCCCAGCCCUGGAGAGCCUUGCAAAAGCUGGAGUGAAGCUUCACAACCAGGCAAGAGAUAGGCUGCCCCGAGGCAGGAGGGGAAAGUGAGGCCAGCCACGGUGAGCCACGGGUCACCAGGAAACCUGGAGGUCACUGGAAGGCAGUCAGGAAGACAGGAAUGUGCAGAACUGGCAGCAAGGAUGGUGAGAAAGAACACAGGUGUGGAGCAUAGAUCUGGGUUCAAAUCCCAGCCCUGUCCCUUUGAACCUUGCUUUUCUUAUCUGUAAAAUGAAAUAAUAGUGCCUGCUGUGGUGGACCCUGAGAUGUGCCUUCCUUGUCUCUGUUCAGAAGUGAAGGACUUUCUCCAUCCAUCAGGAGUACCGUCAGUCCCUUGUCAUCUCAGUCAUCUCUGAGGAUUAGCUGAUGACAACUGCCUCACAUCUCCUUCCUGGAGAAGCCCACAUCCAGUGACUGAUCCAUGGGUGGGACAGAGGCCCAGCCCCCACCCAAGUUGGGACAAGUUGGGACCAGUUGGAAGGAAUAACCAACUCCAGAGGCUUCCUAGAAUACUGAAUCCAUGAGCACUACUUAAUCUCUAUCUCGGACUCUGCUUUCUGGGAAGCCCAGUCUGGGACAUCUACCUCAUCUACUCAGGAGUUUCCAGAAGUUCUAGAAGCUAGAAGUCCAAGAUCAAGGUGUCCAGGUUCUUCUGAGGCCUCAUACUGAUCAUCUAUACAAACUCAAUUUACUUUAAUUACCUCUUCAAUUCAAUCCGUAUCAAAAUCCCAGCAGCCGUUUUGUAAAA